UACAGAGGGUGCAAGCGUUGUUCGGAAUUAUUGGGCGUAAAGGGAGUGUAGGCGGUUUGGAAAGUCUUCUGUGAAAUCUACGGGCUCAGCCUGUAACGUGCAGAGGAAACUACUCGGCUUGAGUGUCGGAGAGGAUAGGGGAAUACCCGGUGUAGAGGUGAAAUUCGUAGAGAUCGGGUGGAACACCAGUGGCGAAGGCGCCUGUCUGGCUGACAACUGACGCUGAGACUCGAAAGCAUGGGGAGCAAACAGG
rnacentral:rRNA from 1 species